rnacentral:rRNA from 1 species
UACGUAGGGUGCAAGCGUUAUCCGGAAUCACUGGGCGUAAAGCGUGCGUAGGUGGCGCGUUAAGUGAGAUGUUAAAUCGUGUGGCUCAACCAUAUCGAUGCAUCUCAUACUGGCGUGCUAGAGGACGGCAGAGGCAAGUGGAAUUGGUAGUGUAGAGGUGAAAUUCGUAGAUAUUCGGAAGAACACCAGUGGCGAAGGCGACUUACUGGACACAUAUUGACGCUGAGGUGCGAAAGCGUGGGGAGCAAACAGG